CUCUGACCCUAGAACCAGGGGUCAGUGGCAGACUCAGGAUUCUGGACUUGCUGAGCCAGACCGGUCUUAAGAUCAUCUGAGAACCCCUCUUCUCCCCCAAGAGGAGACCCCUGAAGCCUCCCAAUGACUUGUCUGGUCCCUGUUUGCAUACUCCCCUUGACAUGAAGCUCAUUCCCCUCCCAGGUUACCAUAGGUUGGUUAUGUUGAGAACCCUCCCUAAGCUAUGCUUCUAAGUUAGCAGCUCUCUCCAGCACAGCCUGCCUCCGGGACCUAAGACACCCUGGGGAGGUCAUGCCAAGAUCAUUUAUCAGCAGCUCCUCAUUCCCACCCCUGGAUUCUGAACUCACAUCCAGAUCCAGGAAACCUGGGCCGCACACUCGGUUGACAGGAAAACUUCAAAACAAAUCUUGUGGCCAAAUGUGAUACAUACUUGGAGUCCCAGUACCAGACCAGAGAGAUUUAUGAGAUUUGCCUUCUCCACCGAGAUGUAAUCGCCAGGCUUUCGCCCUUCCUUGGGACAGUGCCGGGCAUGCAGUAGGAGCGCACCAGUACUUGUGGGAGAACUGAAUUCCAGGCGUGGCUCAGGUACAUGUACACCGGCUCGAGGAGCAGAAGUCUGUUGGGAGGUGCAGAGAGUCUGCAGUAUGUGGUUUGGGGGACCAGGAUCAGCAGAGAUGGGUGUGUGUACAGACUACUCCUGGAGUUGCUUGUCUGGCUUUCUGAGCAGUUUGGGGCGGGAAGAGUCCCAGCUGAAUGGAAAAAAGGCUGCCUGCCUUCCUCGGCUCUCUGCCCUGUCCCCUGGCGUCUCUAGGCCUCUCCUCUCUAAUCGAAAUCUCUUCCAGGCACCCAGGCUGGCUUCUGUCUGCUCUGCGGGCUCCCAGAUUCUAGCUUUUCAGAUUCACCACUUCCAGCCCCUGGCACAGUAGCACCCCAACCUCUCUAUGCCACCUGCACCCCACUCCAGGACCCAGACCUACGUGUACACAGCUAGUAAGUCGCUACCCCUUAGCAUGACACCGUUAGGAUGGUUCAGCCCCACACCUUGCUAAGCAUGGCUGGAGGACGUGAGGGUCCCGCUGUCUGCCCUGUGCUCUCCUGGUCUGGCAUGAACUCACUCCCCUCUCCUUAAUCUCUUUUCUCACUUCUACACCUUUGAUCCCAGCAGCCCUCAGAUGAGCCAGGUUCAACUUCCUGUCACCUAAUACACCAUCUGCUUCUCCUUCCUGCUCCCCACCACCCCCUCUGUUGUACCCUUCCUCCUUAGCUCCCCCACGCUGAUUCCUUACCCUCAGCCUGCACUUCCUCUCUCUCCGGCUGUGCCUCUUCCUCCUUCACAGUCAAGCUUGUGAAUGAAUCCUCCACUUCCCGCCUGCACCCGAUGCUCACACCCCCGUGGUCAAGCACGGGGCAGAGUGAGGAGAGACAGCGAGCUCCCAGUCCCCUAGAUGAGACCUCCAGAAUGCCCUGACAAGCCUGGAGGGGUGAGGGGCACAGAGGCUGCAGGUGAAGCUGAUGUGGGGCCCCGUGAGGAGCACUGCUCUGUGGCUUCCGGGAAAGGCCUAGCCCCUGCCUGGACCUUAUAGGAGGGACAUGGGAACUUUAGAAAGAGGUGACUGGGCUGGGUGGGCAUGGUGGAGCAUGACUUUAAUCCCAGCGCUCAGGAGGCAGGUGCAUCGCUGUGCAUUUGAGGCCAUUUUUGGUCUACAUUGUGAGUUCCAGGACAGCUAAGGUUACACAGAGAAACCCUGUAUUGAAAAACAAACAGACAGACAGACAAAAACAGAAAAAUGAAAGAAAGAAAGAAAGGAGCAGCAGGAGCAGCAGGACUCUGGGACUAGGUGGCUCUGUGGUUCCCUCUGGAGGAGCCCUCGGUUGCCCUGGAGGGACCUUUGCACCUCUGUGUCGCGACCCCAUUCCCACUGCUUUGGUCUGGCUCCCUUCCAGGAAAAGCAAGGUACCGACUCAGGUUUCUGGGAAUUUGGAAGCUUCCAGUACUUGAUCCCCCUUGAGGCCCGUGUAAGUCAUCUGUCUCUGAGAGCAGAGCGAUGCCCCUAGAAUUCAUUUGUUUGCCUUUGCAGGAGAGGAAACUGAGACCAAGGGCAGACAGGCAUUUGGUUCUGGGACAGCACAGUCAUCUGCUUGUUGGGGUGGGUGUCUGGGCAGCUGGCUCAUGAACCCCAAAGACAUUGAGCUGGGGCAGGGCAGAGUUCAAAUGGUAGCAGUCUCUGGCCCCGGCCUGACUCUGGCAUUCAGCAUGGCUCCCACGAAGCUCUUCCCUCCCCUGAUAGGCUUUGUCUCUGCAGUGGCAGGCCGGACAGGGAAAAACAAGAAAGAACCUUGAGCCGUCUGUUCCAGAGUACUGUGGACCUGGUCUGAUUUCUUCUUGGGUGCUGGAGCUCAGGGUCAUAUCCAGCCAAUUGGAGUUGGGGUGUGGUGAUGUCAUCAACAAUACCAGCUUUUGGUGUCCUGGUCCUGCAUCUCCCCGCCCUCCUGGCAUCAGGAUGUGUGCUCUUGUCUUGGAGCCUACAAACGUGACCAAGUUCCCAAGUCUUUACGCGGGGAGGGGAAGGGACAGAGAGAACCUAUGGAAUGGCACGAGGAGGACAGUUACUGUUUAGUUUGGGAUCGCCUCGGUUGGAAAAGCAUUUGUCUUGCAUUCUUGAAGUCCUGGGUUCAAUCUUUAGCACUGCAUAAACCGUGCAUGGUGACGCACAUCUGCAGCCCUAACACUGCAGAGGUAGACCCAGGAGGAUCCAGAGUCAGCUACACAGUGAGAUUGAGGCCAGCCUCACAAAACACUAUUUUUUAAAAAAAGUCCUUCCAUCCUACCAAGAAGAGGCUCAUAGCCUGGAGUCUGUCCAUUGCCUUUUUCUUGUUGGGAGCACUGGGCCCUGCUUCACAGCAGCCCCCAGGCUCUGCUAGUCCUCUGUGUUUUCACUUGUCAGCUCAUCCUCUUUCCACAAGUCAGCAGACCUGGCUCAGCAAAACCCUGACAUCCUCACUAACUUCCCAAGGGCAAGUUCCACAUAAUCCAGGUUGCUGACUUCUUUUCUUAGCACCCACCCACCCUGUCUCUCACACGCAGGCAACAUCCCCAACCCCUGGGACCAGCUGUGCUUGCCUCGUUCUGUGGGUGGCCAGUGUGUUUCCGUCCCUAGCCUGCACUCGUCUCAUACUGGUGGCUGGCAGGCUCCCACUGAAGGCAAAUGCAUUGACAGGGAAACCAGGCCCUGCCCUCGGGAGCUUGGUGUGGACAGGAACAGACAGUGGGGAACUUAAGCAGGAAGGGGUUCUGCAGGCAGGAAAGCCUCACCAAGGAGCAAGUGGCAGGGGAACAGCUGAGUGAGUCAGGAGGCCAAGGGCACUUCAGGCAGUAUAAACAGAGGGCAGAGGGCCCUGAAGGUGGCGAGCAGAGCAGGAGAAGCCAGGCAGUAUACUGGCAACUAUGGGUAAAAGAGGCAGAAACUAGAGAUAAGCAUGAGACAGAUGAUUGGAGCUUAUGGUACCCAUUCCAGCCUCAUAAGAGCCUGUGAGAUAGGACUCGUUAUCUCCUCGGGAUGAGAAACAAGACACACAGAGGAACGGCCCUUGACUGUGAACUCCAGAGUCCACAUCACCAUGGCUGUGCUACGGAGGACCUGAGAUGGCGGAGACAGCGGCUCACCCUUUUUAUCAGUUUCGGAUCUCCAUAGGAGCUGCCUCCUCCAGGGAGUCUUCAGAACCAACUAGAAGGAAUCUCCCUAUAUCCAUGGAAAGUCCACCAUGAGGGUUGUCCUCUGACCAACCUGGGAUGCCCAUCAGCUUCCUACAUACCUUCUGCCUCUCCAGGGGACCCAGAGCUGACCAAUCAGAGCAACCCUCCAAACCACUCACCAGUGACCAAUCAUUAGACUGCCUCAAGGAUUUUUCUGUGCCUAGCUUGGAAGACUUUCUCUCUUUUCUCCUAGGCUGUCAUGAGAACAGUGGGAAGAACUUAAGUGAGCAUGUAGAAACGCAGUGAAGAUAGGAGUGAGAACAGAAAAAGAGAACCAAACCUUCUGUUACGUGAGCUGACAAACUGAUCAAUUAAACCAGCCCUUGCCACGCUGACACUAAAUACACAGGUGAUGGCAAUGAAAUGGGAUUCAUUAAUUUCAUCAAAACUGGAAAUCUUGGGCUGGAGAGAUGACUCAGCAGUUAAGAGCACCGGCUGCUCUUCCAGAGGCUCUGAGUUUAAUUUCCAGCACCCACAUGGUGGCUCACAACCAUCCCUAAUGUGAUCUGGUGCCCUCUUUUGGCCUGCAGACAGAACACUGUAUACAUAAUAAAUCUUAAAAGAAAAAAAAACUUAAAAAUCUUUGUACAAAAAGAAACAUUAUUAUCAGAGUAGAAAGCUCUGCAAAAUGAGAGAUGGUAUUUGAAAAUCUUGUCUGGUUAGGAGUUAAUACAGGUUCAAGGCUAGCUUGGUAUGCAGAACAAAUACCAGGCCAGCCACGGGUACAUGGAGAGACCUUGUCUCAAAACACAAAAACAAACCACACACACACAAAAAGAACAAACCAAAACCAAAAAAUCUAAACUCAGUGAAGAACUUAAUGAACAUUUCUCCAAAGAAGAUCUCCAAGUGGUUAGUAAGUACUGAACGGAUACCCUACCUCACUAAUCAUCAGGGGAACGUGAAUCAAAGCCGAGAGGUACCCAGGACAAUGGUUAUCACUGAAGCGGGGAUGAGCACCAAGGAGAUGGCUCAGUCAGUAAAAGUGCUUGUUUC